UACGUAGGGGGCAAGCGUUGUCCGGAAUUAUUGGGCGUAAAGAGCGCGUAGGCGGUCCGAUAAGUCGGCUGUGAAAGUCAAGGGCUCAACCCUUGGAAGCCGGCCGAUACUGUCGGACUAGAGUCCGGAAGAGGCGAGUGGAAUUCCCGGUGUAGCGGUGAAAUGCGCAGAUAUCGGGAGGAACACCAAUUGCGAAGGCAGCUCGCUGGGACGGUACUGACGCUGAGACGCGAAAGCGUGGGGAGCGAACAGG
rnacentral:rRNA from 1 species